AAUGUAACUAGAGUUUUAAUAUCUUAUGCUUUUGACAGGACCGAGUAGGAGGAAGAGUUGCCACCUUUCGCAAAGGGAAUUAUGUUGCUGAUCUGGGAGCAAUGGUGGUAACAGGACUGGGAGGAAAUCCCAUGGCUGUGGUCAGCAAGCAAGUAAAUAUGGAACUGGCAAAGAUCAAACAAAAAUGUCCACUUUAUGAAGCGAAUGGACAAGCUGUAAGUCUGAUCCUGUUUCCAUGAACCUUCUAAAAAAGAAGUAAUAUCUCUAGUGUGUUUGUUACCAGGCUACUGGCCUAGCCUAAGAUGGCUUCCAGAGAGAGGGAAGAAGGAAGAGGUUUUGUGGAAGCCAAGUUUCUCUCUCCUUUGUUUAAGCCAUGCGCGGUUUAACAGAUGUGAGGUUUGCUCUUUGCAUCACUUGAGCUCUCAUCAUGUAACAGGUAUUUUCACACUGGCAGCACUCACUGUUUAACUGAGUAUCAUCAGUACAGUUAAAUACCACCAUUCCAUACAUGUCCUGCAGUGUUUCCAUCAUCCUAGAAAAGCUACAUUGGUAGUUCUUACUCACAGUGACCAUUCCAGAGGAUAAAUUACUGUCUGUCCACUUCACUGGGCUAUGCCAAGCCUUCUAAAGCCUUGUGAUUGUGUAGAGCCAUCCUACUGUCAGUCUUUUGGCAAGCUUCUGUAGCUUUGAUGAACACACCUUAUUUUCCAGUAAGGAAAUCUUAUGAGCCCAUAAGGCAGUAUAGUUUUCUCUUGCAAGAGAGAUCUGUUGUCAUCGUGGUUUGACAGUUCUUCUUGUGCCCAUCCUGGCAAAGUGUGACAUUGUGUUGUACAGACCUUGGUGUCUGACCAUUUGAGAGAGCUAAGGAUAUGAAUUUUUUUUUUUUUCCCAAGGGCUAUUCUCAGCAGCUG